UGCAGUGCAAGAGACUUCCUACCUCAA
rnacentral:piRNA from 1 species